rnacentral:rRNA from 1 species
GACGAAGGUGGCGAGCGUUGUUCGGAAUCACUGGGCUUAAAGAGCACGUAGGCGGAACAGUAAGCGUCCCGUGAAAUCCCCCGGCUUAACCGGGGAACUGCCGGGCGAACUGCUGUUCUUGAGGCAAGCAGGGGUGCGUGGAACUCUUGGUGGAGCGGUGAAAUGCGUAGAUAUCAAGAGGAACGCCGGCGGAGAAAUCGGCGCACUGGGCUUGUCCUGACGCUGAGGUGCGAAAGCGUGGGGAGCGAACGGGAUUAGAUACCCCAGUA